UACGUAGGCGGAAAAUUAAGUCAGUAGUGAAAUCCUGCAGCUUAACUGUAGAACUUUUAUUGAUACUGGUUUUCUUGAAUAUAGUUGAGGUAAGCGGAAUGUGUAAUGUAGCGGUGAAAUGCUUAGAUAUUACACAGAACACCGAUUGCGAAGGCAGCUUACUAAGCUAUGAUUGACGCUGAGGUACGAAAGCGUGGGGAGCGAACAGGAUUAGAUACCCUGGUAGUCC
rnacentral:rRNA from 1 species